UUUCCGUAGGUGAACCUGCGGAAGGAUCAUUACAAAUUGGUUUAUCCAAUCAUUCAACCUCAUGUGCCAGUCGGAUGGUGGGAGGUUCUCACUAACCACCGCCCGACAUUACUUACCAAUCAUUUUACUUUGAUACAGUUUACUGACAGACUUGCCCAGCAAGCAUCUGGAAGAAACAACUUUUAGCAAUGGAUCUCUUGGUUCUC
rnacentral:misc_RNA from 1 species